GGAGGGAAGAGCUCAGUGGUAAAGCACAUGCUUAGCAUGCAGGAGGUCCUGGGUUCAAUCCUCAGUACCUCUA
rnacentral:tRNA from 1 species